rnacentral:lncRNA from 1 species
GUUAACUUAUGGUCGUUUAGCACUGACACUAAUCAGUACAAUGACUAUAGCUCAUACCGAUUAGAAUCCUACCAGGAUCUAUUUGCGCUGAGUACUCAAAAGACUAGCUUUGACUGAACCCAAAGAUUAUUUGUAUCUUAAUAAUUUCGUGGUAUAUUUGAAUAGAAUCGUAAGAGAAAUUCAGACACCACCAAGGCCAUUGACAUUCGGCUAGUGUUUUCAAAACACCUAUUCAACUUAUAAUAUUUACAUAUUUUAACAUGAGGGAGUGAGAUCUAUUGUGAAAGGAUCCUUGGUACCAGCUUAAAAACGGUUAACUGACCUUGGCACUUGACAGAUUUACUGAUCACCAUCAUUAAGGAAAAAAAUGGAAUAUGUGUUAAUAGGAAUAAAUCAGCGUGACAGGGUUGUACGUCUGGCAACUCUGUGUGAGUUAUAGUGUCCAAGAGGUCAAGAUCAAGUGCAUUGGUGCUCCAAUAUCCAUCAACAGCAGGUGGAACCACGAUUCAAAAACCUCCUCCUUUUAACACAGAUAAAGUUAUCUUGUGUCUGUUGCCCUUUUCUGUCAAUUGCAUAUUUCUCAAGCCUAGCUGAAACACAAAACCUUUCGGCUGAAUUGAAUUAGUAGUGAGAGUGAGAAGAGGCCUUUAAUCAGUACCUAAACCACUCCGCCACAUCUUCUAGUUGUUUCGGCAGGUAAACUUGGUAACUGGUAAUCCAUUUAGCAACCAAAUCAGUAGGCAGUGGUGCAUGCCAUAAAAAGCUAUGAUUAUUGAAUGGUGAUGCCAUAUAGAUGAAGUUUAUGGCAUAUGAAAACGAAACUGCUGAAUAGCGAUAAUUCAGGCUCUGGAUAGUUGGUAAAACAGAGCGACUGGAACCAAACUAAAUAUCUGGAUCGAAUUACCCUGCGAGCAGAGGUUUUUUCUGACCCUCCGUGGAGCUCCCCGACAGCCAGCUCCACGGAGGGUCAGAAAAAAACCUCUGCUCGCAGGGUAGGAUCGAAUAACCCGCGGGAAUUUAACACUAGGACUUAAAAACUGUUCAGUUAGUAGGGGGAAAAAACAGUAGAUCUUUAUCAAAAUUCAAGCUGAAUUACUGAAAACACGAACAGCCAUUUCUUCUCAACCCAGAACAAAAAAUUUAAACUCCUACGAAGUGGACUACAAGAUUGUGUUGCAUAGUUAACAUUACUUCUUCACUUAAAAGCUUGUAGUAUUUAUUUGUCACAACUAACCUUCCUAUAUUCGAGCUCCACAGAGCUCUGCUUAAUAAUGUAUUCAUUUGGACUAAUAUUUCUCCAGCAUCUGUCUGGACGUGCCAGGAAAAACGCAUGCGCGAAUCAAACAUUACUCCGACACUGAAGUUCCCAGGACACACUGCAUGUCGGAGUCUUUCCCAUGAGGGCUAAUUUUCUAUUGCAGGUUUUUUUAUUCGUCUAUAACACUAUUUUUCCCGAGCGAAUGUGGGCGUGGGUUGAAUAUUAAUAUAUAUUAUAUUUCUAUCUUAUCAUGCACUUUGCAGUCUAUUGAAAUAUUCUACCACCUACCCAUGCGGUCAUGAUGCAAUUAAUUCUGCUACAGCUAUAAUGGUUCUGUGAAUUUACAUACAGUAUACAUGAGACAGUAUAGAUGCUCCAGAUGAUUUAUCCUACCACCCCAAGGCUAUUUGAUAGUACUAUCGCUGGAAAAGGAAUACUUAUGUACCAACAAAUAUGUUGGUGCGAUCACGGAGGGUAAAAUGUCCUUUGGAUUAUAACUAUAUCUGAUUUCUUACAUCGUUCCCUCUAGCUACGUCCACUGACCUUAACUCAAUGAAUUUCCAUUAAAGUUAGUAGAUGAUAGCGCGACUGAAUUUGCAGACAAAUCGUUUAAGUUUUGUCCUUAGUGACAGAGACUCUUAGCGACUUAUUUUGCUGACACCACUAACGAGAGUUAGUUUGAGAGAAGAGUUUUUGAGUUUGUCGAUUCAACAGCGCAAUCAACAAUCAGUUGUUUUCUAAAAAACGUUUGAGAGCAGAGAGUGUUGUUCAAUCAAAAACUGCUGACAUAUUCAUUCACUAUUUCUUAAACAAUUAAAAAUGUCUUUGUGACGUCAUCUUUAAGUGUCUAGCCUAGCGCCUUGAGCAAAAUUUUACAAAAUUUUAUUAUCGUGUAAAGAUUAUCGUGUGUAGUCACUGCCUUCAUAUUAAUGUCCAAGUUUUCAUUAUAGUGGUUAAUAUCGAUGCUUAUCAAUCAUAAAUAUUUGCUUGUUUAUAGUUGAAUAGGUAUAUGGUAAAUGACUUGUUAAGUGAAGCAUUUAUAAUUACUAUUUAGCAAUUAGUCCUCGAGCUCGAAUGGGCUUUUGACUCACAGGCCAUGAGGGUGAGAAGGCUAAUAUUGUUUUAGUCAAGUCCAACUAGUUGGUCAAAUAUAUAUGCAAAAAAGUUUUGAAUUAAAGUUAGCUUUAAUGCUUUGGUUUUCAAAGCUGGUACUUCAUUGCUACUUGUAGGCUAUAACUUAUAGCCUAGUAGUAAUUCAUCCAAUCAGAAUGCAGCAUUGAUGAUAGACUACUAGUUAGAUUUUACUAGAGUACACGCACUAAAUCCGUGAACAUUAAUUAGUACUAAUUAGUACUAUUUCAUACAGAAUCCUUUGUUUUCUAUUGUUUAUUUAUCACCAUUUAGUACUAAAAGUUAGUAUUUGUUUCACGGGUUUAGUGUGUGCACACUAAAUAUCAAAUAGCCCAUAACAUGUAAAUUUCGUUCAUACCAAAUGAUAGAUUAGCACUUUAUAACACAUAAUAGGAAUGACACGUGGACUGAAAUGGUGAGGAAAAAAUUUACCCCAGUUUAACUCGGUGUGUGAUUCCUUUAGCUUCAUGGAAGCCCAUGUUAUAUGACCACUUUAUACCUGUCCUCCCUCCAUUAUAUUCAAACAAUCCUUUGUAAUAUAGUAACGCAAGCCAACGCAAGCAUGAGCACAAGCGCAAGUCAACGCAAGAAAAACAAAAUCUUUUUCUUGCGUUUCUACGUUUGCUCUUGCGUCGCGUCUUUGACACUGAACACAUGGAGUUGCGUCGGCUUGCGUUGAUUGCUAGAGAAAACAACGCUUUAAACUACACGCAUUAAAAAUUAAAGAAUUCUUUGGAAUUAAAGCUGUGUCCAAUGGUCUGGGGAAGAACAGUGAACAUAUUUUUUGAUGAAAAUGCAAUUACAAAGAUACUAUAUUCCUGUA